rnacentral:lncRNA from 1 species
AUUGCUUCCUUUACUUGAACUGAUAUUAUUAGUGCAAAAUAGGAGCACAUGGGCCAAUGAGGCUUUUGCUACCGAAGGACAGCUCCUCGAUUACUGGCCUUUUCUUAGCAACAUGCAUGCACUGUAGCUUUUGAUGUGAUGAAAUGCUAGCCAUUUCGUGCCAAGUGCUUUAUUAUACGUGGAAAGUGACAUCAGUCCCUCAGCUGCCUUGGGAAUGCUCUUGGCUCUUUGUGUUGGUUGUUAGGCACUAAGGUGCUUAAUAAAUUCAGCCUUGAAGAGCUCUCAGAAAUUGGUGAUUAGACAGACUUUUGUUUUUUAAACAUUAAGACUGGGUUUCCUAUAUACUUCAGGUCAUGCCCUCGUUUGAAUCAAAAUGCUUAGAAAGGAGUGGGCCACUGUUGCUGAUUCUUUUCAGCAUGGGAAUCCAGAAUAAGUACUUUUCCUAGUAAACAUUUGCCCCUUUGACUAAUCUGCUAGGACAUACCUCCCACAUAGAGAUUUAGUAUAUAAACUCCCGC